rnacentral:rRNA from 1 species
GGCGUGCCUAAUACAUGCAAGUCGAGCGAAUCGAUGGGAGCUUGCUCCCUGAGAUUAGCGGCGGACGGGUGAGUAACACGUGGGCAACCUGCCUAUAAGACUGGGAUAACUUCGGGAAACCGGAGCUAAUACCGGAUACGUUCUUUUCUCGCAUGAGAGAAGAUGGAAAGACGGUUUCGGCUGUCACUUAUAGAUGGGCCCGCGGCGCAUUAGCUAGUUGGUGAGGUAAUGGCUCACCAAGGCGACGAUGCGUAGCCGACCUGAGAGGGUGAUCGGCCACACUGGGACUGAGACACGGCCCAGACUCCUACGGGAGGCAGCAGUAGGGAAUCUUCCGCAAUGGACGAAAGUCUGACGGAGCAACGCCGCGUAACGAAGAAGGCCUUCGGGUCGUAAAGUUCUGUUGUUAGGGAAGAACAAGUU